AGUGGUGGCUCAAUGGUAGAGUGCUUGCCUGGCACGUGUGAGGCCCUGGGUUCCAUCCUUAGCACCACUU
rnacentral:tRNA from 1 species